rnacentral:lncRNA from 1 species
GAGACUGUGUGUGGGUUAGUUGAGGUGAUGUGUAUCUCGUCAGUUGGUGACACAGAGGAAGUUGAGAAUGGUGGCAGUGAUGUGACUAAAGAGGUCUGAGGAGCUGAUGGUGUUGGGAAGGUGGUGGUGGACUGCUCAGAUGUUCUGAAUUGAGGAGCUGUGCUAAGUGUGGUGCUGGAGGAAGCCGCUGUGGGUAGAGAGUGUGUGGUGUGUGGAGUAUGGGCGAUGCUAGAUGUGCCUGAGGGGGUGUGGACCACUGGGGUACCAGUUAGACCCACAGUGGUCAUAGGUGAGUUGGUAGUAGCUGGAAUUGGUGUUGGUUGUGUGGGAGUCACAGUGGAAGAUUGCGAGAGAUGGGGUGUAGAGGUCCUGUCUGUGGAGAACGAGCUUUUGGUUUGUGUGGCAGCAGUGGUUGUAUAUGUGACAGGUACUGAUGUAUGAGGUGGUCUUGUGCCUUCCAGGGUGGUUGGAAGGACAGUCAUCAGUGGCAUGGAGGUAGAGGCCGCUGAUAGGGAAUGUGGGCUGGUGGGGGUGUUAAGUCCCUCAGUAGUUGGUGUCACAGAUAAGGUUGAAAAUAAUGGGAGAUGGGUGGACAGUGAGCUCUGAGGACCUGAAUGGGUUGGGAAGUUGGUGGUGGUGUGCACGGAUGUUCCUGAGGGGAGACCUGUGGUGUGUACUGUCCCAGACACAGCCACAGUGGUUGAAGGGUGUGUGGUGCGUGGAGUCUGAGGACUGCUAGUUGUUCCUGAGGUGGUGUGGACCACAGGUGUGCCAGUUGAACUCAUGGUUGGCUUAAUUGAGUUGGCACUAACUGCAGUUGGUGUAGAUUGAUGGGCAGUGACUGCAGAAGUUUCUGAGAGGUGUGGGGCUGAGGUGGAGGUGGAUGUCCUGUCUGUGGAGAAUGAGGUUUUGGUUUGAGUGAUGGCACUGGUUGUAUAAAUGACAGGUACGGAUAAUGAGGUUUUGGUUUGAGUGAUGGCACUGGUUGUAUAAAUGACAGGUACGGAUGUAUGAGGAGACCCAGUUUGUCCUAUGGUGGUUGGAAGAAUGUUUCCCGUGGUUGUGGAGGUAGAGGCUGAUGAAAGUGUGUGUUGGGGUGUUGGGGUGAUAAUUACCUCAGAAGUUGGUGUCACAGAGGAGGUUGAAGAAAAGGGAAGGUGUGUGGCCAACGAGGUCUGAGGAGCUGAUGGUGUAGGGGAGGCAAUGGUGGUCUGCACAGAUGUUUCCAAGGAGACACCUGUGGUAUGUUUUGUGUUGGAGACAGCAACAGUGGAGAAAGGGUGUGUGGUGCGUGGAGUCUGAGGACUGCUAGUUGUGCCUGAGGUGGUGUGGACCGGUGGAGUACCAGUUAGACCCAUGGUGGACUUGGUUGAAGUGGUUACAGUUGGAAGUGAUCUAGACUGAUGAGCAGUCAUGGUGGAAGGCUGAGAAUGUUGGGAAGUAUAUGUUUUGUCUGUGGAGAAAGAGCUUUGAGCUUGAGUGAUGGAGCUAGUUAUAGAAGUG